GAUGAAGAACGCAGCGAAAUGCGAUACGUAAUGUGAAUUGCAGAAUUCAGUGAAUCAUCGAGUCUUUGAACGCACAUUGCGCCCCCUGGUAUUCCGGGGGGCAUGCCUGUCCGAGCGUCAUUGCUGCCCUCAAGCACGGCUUGUGUGUUGGGCCUCCGUCCUCCUCCCGGGGGACGGGCCCGAAAGGCAGCGGCGGCACCGCGUCCGGUCCUCGAGCGUAUGGGGCUUCGUCACCCGCUCUUGUAGGCCCGGCCGGCGCUUGCCGACACAUCAAGCUUUUUUCCAGGUUGACCUCGGAUCAGGUAGGGAUACCCGCUGAACUUAAGCAUAUCAAUAAGCGGAGGA
rnacentral:misc_RNA from 1 species